UAGGGAAUCUUCGGCAAUGGACGGAAGUCUGACCGAGCAACGCCGCGUGAGUGAAGAAGGUUUUCGGAUCGUAAAGCUCUGUUGUAAGAGAAGAACGAGUGUGAGAGUGGAAAGUUCACACUGUGACGGUAUCUUACCAGAAAGGGACGGCUAACUACGUGCCAGCAGCCGCGGUAAUACGUAGGUCCCGAGCGUUGUCCGGAUUUAUUGGGCGUAAAGCGAGCGCAGGCGGUUAGAUAAGUCUGAAGUUAAAGGCUGUGGCUUAACCAUAGUAGGCUUUGGAAACUGUUUAACUUGAGUGCAAGAGGGGAGAGUGGAAUUCCAUGUGUAGCGGUGAAAUGCGUAGAUAUAUGGAGGAACACCGGUGGCGAAAGCGGCUCUCUGGCUUGUAACUGACGCUGAGGCUCGAAAGCGUGGGGAGCAAACAGGAUUAGAUACCCUGGUAGUCCACGCUGUAAACGAUGAGUGCUAGGUGUUAGACCCUUUCCAGGGUUUAGUGCCGUAGCUAACGCAUUAAGCACUCCGCCUGGGGAGUACGACCGCAAGGUUG
rnacentral:rRNA from 1 species